rnacentral:lncRNA from 1 species
GUUGCUGCUAUUGCUUAUAUGUUUGCUAUUGCUGGAGGCUGUGUACUGCCUCCGUCAGUAUUUUCAUCUAUUGCAUUAAAGCAGUGAGUUAUUGUGCGUCCGUCGUAACAACCGGACAUGAAGAACUGGGCUCUGCCACUGUAGGUGGAGGUGAGAGAUCUUUUCGAUGAAAAGAUUGCCUGUCGGAGCUGAUGGAAUUGUUUUGGGCACUUGUCUUUGCCAUGAUUGGAUUCAUUUUUCUUCUAUCUGAUGCGCCAAUCAGUUGCAGCCAAUCUCCUAAUGCACUUGAGUUCGGCGACGAGCAACCUGCAAAAUAAAUCCACAC